UGGCGGACGGGUGAGUAACGCGUGGGUAACCUGCCUUGUACUGGGGGACAACAGUUAGAAAUGAUUGCUAAUACCGCAUAAGCGCACAGUAUCGCAUGAUACGGUGUGAAAAACUCCGGUGGUACAAGAUGGACCCGCGUCUGAUUAGCUAGUUGGUAAGGUAACGGCUUACCAAGGCGACGAUCAGUAGCCGACCUGAGAGGGUGACCGGCCACAUUGGGACUGAGACACGGCCCAA
rnacentral:rRNA from 1 species